rnacentral:rRNA from 1 species
UGAGGAAUAUUGGACAAUGGGUGGAAGCCUGAUCCAGCCAUCCCGCGUGAAGGAUGACGGUUCUAUGGAUUGUAAACUUCUUUUGUACAGGGAUAAACCUGCCCUCGUGAGGGCAGCUGAAGGUACUGUACGAAUAAGCACCGGCUAACUCCGUGCCAGCAGCCGCGGUAAUACGGAGGGUGCGAGCGUUAUCCGGAUUUAUUGGGUUUAAAGGGUCCGUAGGCGGGCCUGUAAGUCAGUGGUGAAAUCUCAUAGCUUAACUAUGAAACUGCCAUUGAUACUGCAGGCCUUGAGUAAAUUUGAAGUGGUUGGAAUAAGUAGUGUAGCGGUGAAAUGCAUAGAUAUUACUUAGAACACCGAUUGCGAAGGCAGGUCACUAAGAUUUAACUGACGCUGAUGGACGAAAGCGUGGGGAGCGAACA